GCAGCGGUAGUUCAGUCGGUUAGAAUACCGGCCUGUCACGCCGGGGGUCGCGGGUUCGAG
rnacentral:tRNA from 1 species